rnacentral:rRNA from 1 species
AUUGAACGCUGGCGGCAGGCCUAACACAUGCAAGUCGAGCGGCAGCGGGAAAGUAGCUCGCUACUUUUGCCGGCGAGCGGCGGACGGGUGAGUAAUGCCUGGGAAAUUGCCCAGUCGAGGGGGAUAACAGCUGGAAACGACUGCUAAUACCGCAUACGCCCUACGGGGGAAAGCAGGGGACCUUCGGGCCUUGCGCGACUGGAUAUGCCCAGGUGGGAUUAGCUAGUUGGUGAGGUAAUGGCUCACAAAGGCGACGAUCCCUAGCUGGUCUGAGAGGAUGAUCAGCCACACUGGAACUGAGACACGGUCCAGACUCCUACGGGAGGCAGCAGUGGGGAAUAUUGCACAAUGGGGGAAACCCUGAUGCAGCCAUGCCGCGUGUGUGAAGAAGGCCUUCGGGUUGAAAAGCACUUUCAGCGAGGAGGAAAGGUUGAUGCCUAAUACGUAUCAACUGUGACGUUACUCGCAGAAGAAGCACCGGCUAACUCCGUGCCAGCAGCCGCCGUAAAAC